rnacentral:misc_RNA from 1 species
UCCCCGAAGGGCAGUCUCACCAGACACCAGUAACUGGCGACGAGGGUUGCGCUCGUUGCGGGACUGAACCCAACAUCUCACGACACGAGCUGACGACAGCCAUGCAGCACCUGUGGUGGACCCUCGAAGGCAACCGGCUUUCACCGGCCUGCACCACCAUGUCAAGGCUGGGUAAGGUUGUGCGCGUUGCGUCGAAUUAAACCACACGCUCCGCUGCUUGUGCGGGUCCCCGUCAAUUCCUUUGAGUUUUAAGCUUGCGCUCGUACUUCCCAGGCGGAUGACUUGUCGCGUUGGCUGUGACCCCCACCGGCUUUAACACCAGCAAAGGUCGAGUCAUCAUCGUUUACGGCGUGGACUAC